GGGAAUGUGGUGAUUGGUAACGCACUCGCCUGGUAUGCGAGAGGCGCUGGGUUCGAUCCUCAGCACCA
rnacentral:tRNA from 1 species